CGUGUAGGCGGUCUUUUAAGUCUGAUGUGAAAGCCCCGGGCUCAACCUGGGAAGUGCAUUGGAAACUGGGAGACUUGAGUACGGGAGAGGAGAGUGGAAUUCCUAGUGUAGGAGUGAAAUCCGUAGAUAUUAGGAGGAACACCAGUGGCGAAGGCGGCUCACUGGACCAUUACUGACGCUGAGGCACGAAAGCGUGGGGAGCAAACA
rnacentral:rRNA from 1 species